CCUACGGGAGGCAGCAGUGAGGAAUAUUGGUCAAUGGCCGGAAGGCUGAACCAGCCAUGCCGCGUGAAGGUCAGUGCCCUAUGGGCGUUAAACUUCUUUUGUGCGGGAGCAAUAAUGGUCACGUGUGGCCAGACGAGAGUACCGUACGAAUAAGCAUCGGCUAACUCUGUGCCAGCCGCCGCGGUAAUACGGGGGGUGCAAGCGUUAUCCGGUUUUAUUGGGGUUAAAGGGUGCGUAGGCUGUGAGGUAAGUCAGCGGGGAAAUGCCCCCGCGCAACGGGGUGAGGUGCCAUUGAUACUGCGUGGCUGGAGUGCGGAUGCGGUGAGAGGAAUGUGAGGUGUAGCGGUGAAAUGCGUAGAUAUAA
rnacentral:rRNA from 1 species